UUCACUAGUACGGUUAACGUGUUCCCGGUACAGACGGGUAAACUGAUCUCCACACAGGUAAGCACCCGGCUCCCUCAGGACAGCGCCGGCCCUGAACGCCCUCACAGAGCUGUCACUCACCGUCUGUGGAAGCCGCCCCUGCCGCCAUCUUGGAACCCACCUCCCCUUCCCGGAGCUUCUAGAACACUCUUUCCUACCCUGGGAAGCCCACACCGGCCCUUCUGGAAGUGCGCCAUCUGCACGCUGUCGAAGGCUCAGCCCGAAUCGCCCAACCUGCUCAAGUCUACGUCUCGCGCCCGUACGUCAGGCCGCGCCCGCCUCAGAGCCACCCACCUUUCUGCUCCCACCAAGCGGUGACACCCAUCCCGCCUCCCUGAGGUAUCGCUAGGCCCUAAGGCUUCUCUUUCACCCUCGCACCAACCUUCAAGGACAGAGAAGACAGCCCCAGCCUGGCCCAGCACCGACUCCAGAGUCGCAGCGUCUGGAACAUGCGGGAGGAAGAUGACAGGAGUGGGCAGCGCGGCACAUGCGCCUAAACAAGAACCUCGUGUUUGGUCUCUGUGUGCUCCACUGCUGCCCACACUCUGCAGCCUGUCCAUGCUGUAGCCAGAGUCUCCAAAGGAGGCACAUCUACCCCACAUGCGCAGGACGAGCCACUGUAAAAUUGAAGAACUAGAGUAGAAAUUCUGGGAAAUGGAAAGAAGUUUUAUACCCUCCUAGAGGAGAAAAAAGCCCUCAGAUCUGAAACAAGAGGUUCUGAAGAGCUGAACACAUGGAGGUUCCUGGAGGGUGGUGACCCCGGAGUGGAGAAGGCACGGAAGCUCCACGAGCCCCCCACAUGCCCUGCCCCUGUGCACCGCUUCAUCUGUAUCCUUUGUGACAUCUUUAAUAAUAAGCUGACUGCACAAGUCUGAGGUCCCUGGAGCAGGCUGGAACUCUUGGCCAUGAGCUGAAGCAGCUGUCAACAGGAAGAAU